rnacentral:misc_RNA from 1 species
AAGUCGUAACAAGGUUUCCGUAGGUGAACCUGCGGAAGGAUCAUCAACAAAUCAAUUCGUUGGGCUUGCCCAACAAAUACCAAUGUGAAUUAGGGGAUUUAUCCUCUUCUGGACCAUUUUUAUGGGCCAAAGUAUACUAGACCAGAGUCGGACAAACAAAAUAAUGAAAACAACUUUUAACAAUGGAUCUCUUGGCUCUU